CACUCGGUAGCACACGGUGUGCCUCUGCUUAUCGUUGCCGGUUCUUCGACUAAAUGUCAUGCAAGACGUCCCCCGUUCGACUCAGGGCCGGGUGA